GACGAACGCUGGCGGCGUGCUUAACACAUGCAAGUCGAACGGAAAGGCCCUGCUUUUGUGGGGUGCUCGAGUGGCGAACGGGUGAGUAACACGUGAGUAACCUGCCCUUGACUUUGGGAUAACUUCAGGAAACUGGGGCUAAUACCGGAUAGGAGCUCCUGCUGCAUGGUGGGGUUUGGAAAGUUUCGGCGGUUGGGGAUGGACUCGCGGCUUAUCAGCUUGUUGGUGGGGUAGUGGCUUACCAAGGCUUUGACGGGUAGCCGGCCUGAGAGGGUGACCGGCAAAAUUGGGAAUGAGAUACGGCACAGAGUCCUAAGGGAGGCAGCAGGGGGGAAUAGUGAACAAUGGGCGGAAGCCUGAUGCAGCAACGCCGCGUGCGGGAUGACGGCCUUCGGGUUGUAAACCGCUUUAGCAUGUGACGAAGCGUGAGUGACGGUAAUGGGUAAAGAAGCACCGGCUAACUACGUG
rnacentral:rRNA from 1 species